GAUGAACGCUGGCGGCGUGCCUAAUACAUGCAAGUCGAGCGAACGGACGAGAAGCUUGCUUCUCUGAUGUUAGCGGCGGACGGGUGAGUAACACGUGGAUAACCUACCUAUAAGACUGGGAUAACUUCGGGAAACCGGAGCUAACACCGGAUAAUAUUUUGAACCGCGUGGUUCAAAAGUGAAAGACGGUCUUGCUGUCACUUAUAGAUGGAUCCGCGCUGCAUUAGCUAGUUGGUAAGGUAACGGCUUACCAAGGCAACGAUGCAUAGCCGACCUGAGAGGGUGAUCGGCCACACUGGAACUGAGACACGGUCCAGACUCCUACGGGAGGCAGCAGUAGGGAAUCUUCCGCAAUGGGCGAAAGCCUGACGGAGCAACGCCGCGUGAGUGAUGAAGGUCUUCGGAUCGUAAAACUCUGUUAUUAGGGAAGAACAUAUGUGUAAGUAACUGUGCACAUCUUGACGGUACCUAAUCAGAAAGCCACGGCUAACUACGUG
rnacentral:rRNA from 1 species